ACCUGGCUGGCUUAGUUGGUGGAGCCUGUGACUCUUGACCUCAAGGUUGUAGGUUCAAGCCCCAUGUUGGGUG
rnacentral:tRNA from 1 species